UACGUAGGGUGCGAGCGUUAAUCGGAAUUACUGGGCGUAAAGUGUGCGCAGGUGGCUUCGCAAGUCGAGUGUGAAAUCCCCGGGCUUAACCUGGGAAUUGCGCUCGAAACUACGGAGCUGGAGUAUGGCAGAGGGAGGUGGAAUUCCACGUGUAGCGGUGAAAUGCGUAGAGAUGUGGAGGAACACCAAUGGCGAAGGCAGCCUCCUGGGCCAAUACUGACACUCGUGCACGAAAGCGUGGGGAGCAAACAGG
rnacentral:rRNA from 1 species